UCAAAGGUGUUUCUUAACACCACACUGAAAGGAAAAGGUGAUAU
rfam:Phalacrocorax carbo contig7340, whole genome shotgun sequence.